GUGCCAGCAGCCGCGGUAAUACGUAGGUGGCAAGCGUUAUCCGGAAUUAUUGGGCGUAAAGCGCGCGUAGGCGGUUUUUUAAGUCUGAUGUGAAGCCCACGGCUCAACCGUGGAGGGUCAUUGGAAACUGGAAAACUUGAGUGCAGAAGAGGAAAGUGGAAUUCCAUGUGUAGCGGUGAAUGCGCAGAGAUAUGGAGGAACACCAGUGGCGAAGGCGACUUUCUGGUCUGUAACUGACGCUGAUGUGCGGAAGCGUGGGGAUCAAACAGG
rnacentral:rRNA from 1 species